AUUGAACGCUGGCGGCAGGCCUAACACAUGCAAGUCGAACGGUAACAGGAAGAAGCUUGCUUCUUUGCUGACGAGUGGCGGACGGGUGAGUAAUGUCUGGGAAACUGCCUGAUGGAGGGGGAUAACUACUGGAAACGGUAGCUAAUACCGCAUAACGUCGCAAGACCAAAGAGGGGGACCUUCGGGCCUCUUGCCAUCGGAUGUGCCCAGAUGGGAUUAGCUAGUAGGUGGGGUAACGGCUCACCUAGGCGACGAUCCCUAGCUGGUCUGAGAGGAUGACCAGCCACACUAGAACUGAGACGCGGUCCAGACUCCUACGGGAGGCAGCAGUGGGGAAUAUUGCAGAAUGGGCGCAAGCCUGAUGCAGCCAUGCCGCGUGUAUGAAGAAGGCCUUCGGGUUGUAAAGUACUUUCAGCGGGGAGGAAGGGAGUAAAGUUAAUACCUGUACUCAUUGACGUUACCCGCAGAAGAAGCACCGGCUAACUCCGUG
rnacentral:rRNA from 1 species